rnacentral:lncRNA from 1 species
UUCCCAUUUAGAGUCAGAGGACAGGGUAUUAUUGGAAGGUUUGUUUCAGUGUGCCACUCUGCCUCAGUCUCACACAAAGAACUCUUUGUGAGGUCGCAGAUUAGCAUUUGGGCAGGCAGCCAGGAGAGAUGAAAGGAGGGUGGCUACACUAAGGAUGUACAUAGCUUACACUCAUCAAAUACCCGGAGGAAAAAAAAGAGAAACAGUCCACAUCGUCUGUAAUUUCAGUUGCUAUACUCUAUCCCUCUAGUUUCUGAAAAAGCAUUUUUAGUGGAAGCUCUAUGAAUGCAUAGUUCUACUCUGACACUAAAUAUUGUUCAUGAAAGAGGCAGAUAUGGCCAUACCUUGACAGAAGAGGCACAUAUACAACCUGCCAU